rnacentral:rRNA from 1 species
UAGGGAAUAUUGGGCAAUGGGCGGAAGCCUGACCCAGCCACGCCGCGUGCAGGAAGACGGCCCUCUGGGUUGUAAACUGCUUUUAACUGGGAAGAAAAGAGGCCUUGCGAGGCAAGUUGACGGUACCAGUUGAAUAAGCCACGGCUAACUACGUGCCAGCAGCCGCGGUAAUACGUAGGUGGCGAGCGUUAUCCGGAUUUAUUGGGUUUAAAGGGAGCGUAGGCGGCUGAUUAAGUCAGCGGUGAAAGGUAGCAGCUUAACUGUUUUACAUGCCGUUGAUACUGGUUAGCUUGAGUUGACAGAAGGCAGAUAGAAUUCCUGAUGUAGCGGUGAAAUGCUUAGAUAUCAGGAGGAAUACCGAUUGCGAAGGCAGUCUGCUGCAGUCACACUGACGCUGAGGCUCGAAGGUGCGGGGAUCAAACAGG